UCUGAAUGCAGUCUUUUUAUGCAAGGGUC
rnacentral:piRNA from 1 species